rnacentral:rRNA from 1 species
UACGUAGGUGGCAAGCGUUGUCCGGAUUUAUUGGGCGUAAAGAGCUCGUAGGCGGUUCGGUAAGUCGGGUGUGAAACUUUGGGCUCAACCCAAAGCCUGCACUCGAUACUGCUGUGACUUGAGUCCGGUAGGGGAGUGGGGAAUUCCUGGUGUAGCGGUGGAAUGCGCAGAUAUCAGGAGGAACACCGGUGGCGAAGGCGCCACUCUGGGCCGGUACUGACGCUGAGGAGCGAAAGCGUGGGGAGCGAACAGG